GACGAACGCUGGCGGCGUGCUUAACACAUGCAAGUCGAACGGAAAGGCCCUGCUUUUGUGGGGUGCUCGAGUGGCGAACGGGUGAGUAACACGUGAGUAACCUGCCCUUGACUUUGGGAUAACUUCAGGAAACUGGGGCUAAUACCGGAUAGGAGCUCCUGCUGCAUGGUGGGGGUUGGAAAGUUUCGGCGGUUGGGGAUGGACUCGCGGCUUAUCAGCUUGUUGGUGGGGUAGUGGCUUACCAAGGCUUUGACGGGUAGCCGGCCUGAGAGGGUGACCGGACACAUUGGGACUGAGAUACGGCCCAGACUCCUACGGGAGGCAGCAGUGGGGAAUAUUGCACAAUGGGCGGAAGCCUGAUGCAGCAACGCCGCGUGCGGGAUGACGGCCUUAGGGUUGUAAACCGCUUUCGCCUGUGACGAAGCGUGAGUGAAGGUAAUGGGUAAAGAAGCACCGGCUAACUACGUG
rnacentral:rRNA from 1 species